ensembl:lncRNA
AUCGGACUAACCGUCUAGGACGAGUUCGAAAAAGUAUGUUUUUCGAACAAUUGAAAAUAGCGAAAAAACUAAACCUUGCGAUUUUUGAAUUUUGGGGUUCAUUCGACUUGGCAUGAGCCAAGGAUUCAGAGGAAAAAAGAAUUUUAAUUUUGUGGCUUACGGUUCAAAAGUUAUUAGCAUAAAAAUAUUGAAAUUUUGGACAAGUGGUGGCGCUAGAGAGUUGGAGUUAGAGACUUCAAAUUUGCUAUAUUUAAUGCUGGGACUGUCCUCUAUCAGUGUGCAAAAUUAUACAACUUUCCCGCAAUCGGUUCUAUGGGCUGCCAUAGACUUGCGGCGGAAGAAGAAGAAGAAGAAGAAGAAGAAGAAGAAGAAGAAGAAGAAGAAGAAGAAGAAGAAGAAGAAGAAGAAUAACGCCAACGGAUACAAUAGGUGCCUACGCACCUUCGGUGCUUGGCCCCUAAUAACGCCAACGAUUUCAAUAGGUGCCUACGCACCUUCGGUGCUUGGCCCCUAAUAACGCCAACGGUUUCAAUAGGUGCCUACGCACCUUCGGUGCUUGGCCCCUAAUAAUAAUAACGCCAACGGAUACAAUAGGUGCCUACGCACCUUCGGUGCUUGGCCCCUAAAUAUAGCUGCAAGCAGCAAUUGCGGGGCCAAGCACUCCAGCUGCAAAUUGAGGAGCUAAACAUGGCAUGGAGCAUCAGACCAAAUGCAACAAUGAGAAAUUACAGCAAUUUUAGGAUGAUUGUAAUUGAAAUGGCGGAAAAAUCAUAAAUACAAGCACUAGUAUUAUGAUUAAAUGGUUUAUCACUUUUGACCAACAGGUAGCGCUGUAAUCAAAUCAUUUUGGUGUGUUCUGUGUGAGGUGACAAUGCCACACACAAAGUUUGGUGUCAGUAUGCCAAAGCAUUGCAGAGAUACAGGCUGAAGUGUCAUUUUGGCAUCAUGCCUGAAAUUCGUCGCUGUAGUAUGCGAAAACGGUUUUGUCUAUCAAUACAAAAUCCAUAACAUUUUGUCAGCACAGUCUGAAGAUCAUCUGAUUCAAUUUUGGUGAAAAUCGGACAAACGGUUGAUGAGGAGUUCGAAAAAGUAGGUUUUCAACAUAAAUCAAAAUGGCGGACAGGAAGUUCAGCGUACUGUGGCAUAUUUGGUAUCUAUGUUGUCGGCAUAAGCCAAGGAAUAUUUUGAGACCAGUUUCAUUGCA